GACGAACGCUGGCGGCGUGCUUAACACAUGCAAGUCGAACGGUAAGGCCCUUCGGGGUACACGAGUGGCGAACGGGUGAGUAACACGUGGGUGAUCUGCCCUGCACUUCGGGAUAAGCCUGGGAAACUGGGUCUAAUACCGGAUAGGACUCCGGACUGCAUGGUCUGGGGUGGAAAGCUUUUGCGGUGUGGGAUGGGCCCGCGGCCUAUCAGCUUGUUGGUGGGGUGAUGGCCUACCAAGGCGACGACGGGUAGCCGGCCUGAGAGGGUGACCGGCCACACUGGGACUGAGAUACGGCCCAGACUCCUACGGGAGGCAGCAGUGGGGAAUAUUGCACAAUGGGCGCAAGCCUGAUGCAGCGACGCCGCGUGAGGGAUGACGGCCUUCGGGUUGUAAACCUCUUUCAGUAGGGACGAAGCGCAAGUGACGGUACCUACAGAAGAAGGACCGGCCAACUACGUGCCAGCCGCCGCAGUAA
rnacentral:rRNA from 1 species